AUAUGAAGACAGUAAAAAUUAUUUUAUUGCCACACUAAUAUGGAUCUUCUCCUCAGACUGUCCUAGCUCAUCUGACCUAGUUCCAGAUGUAACAACAAGCCAGACAAAUAAGCAAGCAAGCAGGAGGAUAUGGACUGUUGACCAUCUCCCAGCACAACAGAAUUUGGUGAUGUAUACAUAUUGCAGUCAUUUUGAUAAAUAUUUUCUCUGGAUUACUGUUCAUGUUUGUAUGUUUUAAUGAAUUAUUUCACAGUUUGUGAAUUUCCCUUUUCCAGCUGGCUUAUGUAUUGGAUAGAGCCAAAGAUCCAAAUGAGGAUUUAUUUCAACUGAACCCAACCCAAACAUUAACCAGAAGCGACUUUUGGUCUUAGGCCUUUGAUGAGUUAGAGGCAAUGAUUGCUAAUCAAUGCUUCGAACUCAUAGCUGCACUUGCAGCUUCACAGGGCAAAGAUGUCUUUGCUGUCAACAGUUAUGUGGUGGUGACCUGGUUGCCACCAUUUGACAAUGAUCAGCAGAUUUGUUGAUGCAAUGUGUAGAAUUGGGGUGUGAGAUGGAUUUGUAUGUUAAGUUUGUAUUUUUUUCACCAUGUGCUGUUUUUCUUUUUUCUUUUUAGCCUGUCAUGCAUAUUGUACUAUGUCCCCCGUAAUGGAAUGUCCCUUCUUUUGUAAACUUGUACUUUUUGGUUGUUAUGCCCAUAAUUACACAAGUGUGCAUUGUGGUCUCUCAAUUGGUCCAAUUCCUAAUGUCAUGUUCUUUUACAGAUCCUCAAGCCAAAGUCAAGGGAAAUUUUAUUUCUAGACACCAUGAACCCUUUACUUUGGGCAUGGGAGCUACAUACAGAUUUUCAGGUUUUGCUUUCAGGAUAGCAAGUUCUGGAGUUUCCAGUUCUACUGUUCUGCAUUCAUUCGAAUAAUAUGCAUGUGUUUGGAGUUCAUUCUAACACAAAUCACUGUCUGCACCCUUAUGUAAACCAACUUGUUUUACCCUGUGAUAAUCAUUUUCUUUAUUACUUUUUAAAUGAACAGGCUACAAAUAAAUUUUUUUUUCUUUUUUUUUUUUUUUUUUUUUACAGGUGUGAAGAGUGACGGAACAGUACUUUCAUUCGACUCCAAAAACCCACAUGGUUUUGGAGAUUGCCGUUACCUUAACGUUUUCAGGUUUUGCAUGGUUCCAUUCAGUUUAAACUUGAUGGGCAAACUCCAGGCUUUUGAUAUAUCGGUUUGUUUUCAUUCUUAUAUUUUGACCUGAAAAACCUUGCUGUGCACUCUCUUGCCAGUGCCAUUAAUUGAUAAAUUCACUGUUAAGAAAUAUAAGCCAGCUACACACUUCGGUCUUGGAUAACUGGAGUUUGUCCCCCAUUAUGACAUGAAUGGCAGUUCUGUUUGAGACCAUACUUUUAUGUUUCAGCCAGUUCUGGUUUAUGUUUCCAGUAUUGGUAUUUGUAUAAUUCAGCCAUACAGUAAAACCAAACCACUGGCUGUAACACAAGGAGGGGUAGUUCUGUUUUAAACCCUAACAUUUUUUUUAUUACAAUACGAUCAACUUUGUUUUUUACUUACAUGUGACUGCUCAUGAAGAUAUAUUGUUAUAUAAUAUUGAAAUGUAUUGUAUUAUUGUUUUAUUAUAGAAACUUGGCGAUUCAAAUUUCACCUGGCCAUUGGACCAUGUCUUCACUGACAGAUUGUGAGGUACAGCUUUUUAACUUCUUUGCAUGUAAACCUUUAUUAUCUGCAGUGGAGUGUCUCCAUUGAAACCUGUACAGUUCACUAUAUACUGUAUGUAGGGUAUAUCGUCUUAUUCCACUCUUAAUUAACAGGAUGCACCAACUCAGCUGGGAGGUACUGACUGUGGGAUAUUCAUGUUGAUGUUAAGUGGUCUUAUAAUUGCUAUACCAUUGUCUCUGUGUGUGCUAAACACUGCAUUUGUUAAUAUAACAUAAGAGUUUUAAUUUUGUUUUUCAGUACACCCUCUAUGUGACCCUUGUGAAGCCCUUUGAUUUUGCUGCAGUGAAUUUGUAUCAAUUUACGGUUAAUUGUUGAGCAAAAAGGACUGUGAGAACACAAUAAAAAUGUUAUGAUUAAGAUUUUCAGUUGCCAUCUUUUAUCAGCCUGACAUGCCUGUAAUCAGGAGAUGGUGUCCUCUGGCAAGUUAUGAUAUUGAUAACUAUACUUUGGAUGAAAAUCUCCAUUAUGUGCAUUCCCAGUAUGCAGGUAAUUUGUAAUAAAUCUAAAAUAAUGCACACUGGAAAAACAUUGUACUGUUUGUCACUUUUUCUUCAAAGUCAAGUCCCACAGCCAAUCACCCAAGAAACAAACCUACCAGAGCCAGAUGUCAUUGAGGUCACCCCACCUGAGCCAGACGUCAUGGAGGUCACCCCACCUGAACCAGAUGUCAUGGAGGUCACCCAUCUGAGCCAGACAUCAUGGAGGUCACCCCACCUGAAUCAGAUGUCAUGGAGGUCACCCAUUUGAGCCAGACGUCAUGGAGGUCACUCCAACAACGAGAAUCCAUGUAUGUACAGGGAAUGUUUACGUAUUGCUUGACUGUUGUUUGUUUAUGUAUUUACCUUUACUGUUUCAUAAAGGUGUUUAUGAUCAGCAUUUGACUAAUAACUAAUGCAUUCAUUUAUCUUGCUUGAAGUGGAGACCCUAAGUGUACAUUUAAAAGGACCAAACAGAAGACAAAAACAGCAGACAGGUGUGAUAAAAAAAAAAUGUAACACACCUGCGAGGGCAACUCAGUUCCCAAAUUUACCUAUAAAAACAAAGGGAAGAUUAGGUAACCUAGGUCAAACUUUAUUACAUGAAUUAAUCACAUAUGAUUGAGAUGAAUUCACAAAUAGCCUACAUCUUAAUGCGGUGGAAAAAAAGAAGGCAGGGGUGCACAGAUAGUCUAGUCAUGCUGUUUGUCACAGAAACGAUGCUGACCAUGCUGAAAAAUCAUGAAAUCAUGAAAAAUAUUAGAGAAAGGAUGUAGGUCCAUACAGCAGUCUUGCUCAUGUGAUAUUGCUUUAUUACUGCAGAUUUGAAUUGAGUUGUUCUUUUUGGUUCCACAGAGGAAACUCAUGUGGGUUUGAAAUAACAUGAAUGUGAGUAAAAUUCUCCAACAAGUCCACAAAGCUUUGAAAAAGCAACAAACUUUUUUGUGUUUGCAUUUUCUGUGAGAUUUGAAAAAUAAAGAAUCUUUAUUUAGCCCAUUUGCUCUUAUUCCGUUUUAAUGUCAUCAAUACAAAUUGCUGAACCCAACGUAUCAUUUUGUUUUCUUUAUUUAGAAAGGAACAGAAAAUGGAAAAACCUCAUAAUCAUGGCAUAGUUUGUGAUGAAGUCAGAUGAUGUCAGAGUUUGCUGGGAUCAAACAUUCCAAGACCGGACAAAUGACGAUAGAGCAGAACGCAGGAGAAACAUCUGAAAAGCAGGGGACUUAAGCUGAAGCCUCCAUUUAAACUCAUUGCUGGCUAGGAGAAGCAACAGAGAUAUUAAAGAGAUCUCAUAUUUGAUUUUUCUUCCCUAUGUGGGAAAUCAAAGUAACAGGAACACUCACAGGUAUACUGUUGCAUUUAAUGACAUCACUACUUUCUAAAGUAGCUCUCUUUUCAUCUUUUCCGUUUCUCUUUCCUUCUUCAGCUGUGCUGUUCCUCUGUCCUUCUCAUUUAUGUUGUUCAUCAACCCUUCAUUGUGGGGGGUGCAAGGUCAGGGCGCAGAGAAAAAGAGCUUUUCGGGGGGAGGAAGGGUUCAAUGUGUGCUUGGCCCCCUCAGGAUCAAAGCUGCACUCCCAUUGUACAACAAGUCCAAUAGAGACCAUUGAACAGAACAGUGAAAAGAAAUGGAGUUGACCCCUGCUGGCUAACUGACAGCUUCCUUUAUGUGUGUGUGUUCACAUGCAUAAGGAAACUGCAUAGACCUACAUUAAAUUACAUUACUCAUUGCAUUACACUGCAUUUUUUGUGUCUUUUGAAAGAAACUUUUUGCUUCACAGUGCUGGUAUUAAAGUUUCACAUGAAAGGAUUGGUUGUUCCAUGAUCCUUGGAGGAAUGAAGAAAUAAUACUCUCAUAUCUCCACUAUCUUCCUCUCACUCCCCCUCUUUCCUCAGGUGUGUUAAAAACAUCACACAUGAGUCAGAGAUCUGCAAGUGACAUUCACAUUCAAAAGCUUCCUUUAUACGCAGGCCUGCAGCCAUGCACACUCACAACUGAGCUGCACUGACAGACAGCUGCUGAGAGUUUACUGAGAAGAGCACACUAAUGCAGUACCAAGGAAAGUGGGCAGUGCCGACAUACAAUGGCAUUUACUUUGUUUAUGUCUAAAGGAUGAGCUUUGAGGUUAAUGUAUAACACAUGAAUGAAAAAAAGGGUAAUUAGUCAAAUAGUUUUCGUUUAUUAGUGGUGUUUGCUGAGGCAAACGUCACUAUUGCUAUUGCUCUUACUCAGGGUUAAAGGAAUAGUUCACCCAAAAAGGAAAAUUCUGUCAUUGUUUACUCAUCUUAAUGUCAUUCUAAACUGAUAUGACCUUUUUUCUUCUGUGGAAAACAAAAGGUGAAUUUUUUUAAAGUCUUCACAGGGUUUAUUUGUCAUGUAAUUCAAGUGAAUAGUGCACAACAGUCAGGUUCCAGAACUAAAAAUACCAUUCAUUUUUUCCAUAGACAAAUUGAUUUUCAACGAUAACUUAAAAACAUUUAAAGAUAGACCUACCGUAAGCGCUGAGUUUGUUCAUUGAUGGUAUAUGCUUCCAUUGAAGCCAUCAGUCUGUGCUAUUUCAACUUUAUUGUUUAAAAAUCACAUUUGAUUGCAGAAUUCCUGGUGAACUACAUUACCCAUGGUCCACCAGAGAAAGACCCACCAAUCAGAGAACAGCGACCAACAAAGCCGGCAAAACUAAUCUUACUCCCCUGAUGCACUGUGAAUGAUGCAAUCGAGUAGGACUCCCUUCACCCUUACUACUCAUAUAAUUGUAUAUAUUGGAAUAUUUAACAAUAAACAAAAUGCUUCGUGGGAUUGCAGUUAGUGCCCUCAUAAAAGACGAAGCCUUCUACUACUUCGCCGUCAACAUACAUGAGCCAGCGGGUGGAAUCUUCACGGCAACGAGAAGACUCUCCGCUCCCCUGCAGGUUCCGGAGAACAUUUACUCCACCUUGCCGCUUGAUGCUUUGCUGGUGAAUGGGCUGCUUCAGCAUCCUGAUUCCCCGCAGCACUUCGGCGGGAGUUUUGUAUCCUUAUAAGAUAUUGUUGAUAUUGUGUGUGUAUGUAUGUAUAUAUAUAUAUAUAUAUAUAAAAUUAAAAGAGUGUUUGCAUAAGUGUUCCUUAUGCGAGGGACACAUUCCGCCAUCAGAUCAGCAUGAGAGCUGCAUUCACUGUCUGAGAGACAGCUCUCAUAGAGACAGACUGCCCUCACUGUGAGGGCAUGAGUCUCAAGAUGCUUCAAUCACGAAUUGCCCUCGUUCCGAGAGAAGAUUCAGCCUCCCACCCGCUUCUUCUGUGACUCCCGAGGGAUCACACGAGGAGGCACGGCGGGGCCGCGAUGUCGAGCAGGAUGAAUUUGAUGUGGACCUCAUGCCAGUACAUGCCCUGCAAGCCCUUCAAUCUCCAUAUACUGCAUCUAUGCCAAGACUUUAUGUGCGUGAUGUUGGGCCUCAUGUAUUCAGAUAGAAGACAAAGGCUGCCGAACACAGUCGUAAGCCCGACUGAGGCCUACCCACACACAAAAUCAUAAAUCUUACUGAUAAAAACCGCGCCAAAUUCAAACAAAGGGGGUCCAAAACAGACUACAAAUCCCAUGAAGCCUUGCUCACUAAAGGAUCGAACUCUCAACUCCUAUUGGAUGAGGCACACGACAGAAUGCCCCUCAAUCAUGAUGUCAUCGGGAGUAGAAAUACCUCUGAGAUCCAUCUGGGCAUGGCUUCCAGCAACUUUGCUUGCCUUGUGUAGACGCAACUCAUCGCUGCUCUCAGGUGUAGCCUCAUGGCACAAGGAAGUAAUGUACAACUUGAAACUGUGGCCAUACAAUCUCGCUGGACGAGUUGAGAUUACUCUGUGUUCCACCGAACACUCUAACGGAUCCGAAGGAGACCGCUGAGCAAUCCGCAUCUUCAUCCAUUUGCCUACAGAAGUGAAGAAAGAAGUUUUCUCUUCCCUCUUCAACCAAGUCGACGUCACUGAUUUCUCUGCCAGCCUGCCGAGAAUCAGCAGCCAUACCGCUCACCGACAGAGCAAGGAAACGGCCUCCUGUCAUCACCCAAGCCUCGAGGAAACGAGUCGGAGUCAAAUGACGGAUGAACACACAUUCUACCUGUGUCCUCAUGCGAUUCAAGUAAGAGGUUUACGUCUGGGCAGAGAUAGAAUAUUAUAGUGUGUUAUUAUUGUGUAUCAAGGUUAUUGCUUGUACAGUUUAUGGACCACCGAGUCCGCUCAUUGCUGCUAAUAAUACUCAAGGUAUUACUGUAAUGUGCUGUAGUCCAACCACAUUGGACUGUUGUGUAUUUCCGCCAUCGCGGGUGAGACCGGCACACUGAGUUUAUCCAUUAAAGAACCAAAGACCGUGGGACAGUUUACAAGCCGUCCACUGCGUCUCUGAGUGAUAAACUAACAGCUGCUUUCUCUCCCACGAUCGCGAAACCGGCUUUGGUGCUGCCACUUUAUUCUCUCUCUCUCUUGUACUAACUACACACACACAACCCCUCACAAACAUUCUUGCACACACUUUUGGCUAGUAGAUAACUUCGUGAUAAAGCUCAGCUUUGUCCCUAAGUUACUGUACAAGCAGAGACACGCAGUAAACAGGCAGACGCCAUUAACCGGCUUCUCUCCGCCCACAUUCGCGGCCAUAUUCUCUGGCCGGAAAUCUCGCAUGACGUACUCUCCACGAGAGUCACGUCCGCCAUUUUGUGCGCGUCACUCCUUACACACACACACACACACCCAUUCACACACACACACACACACACACACACACACACACACAUACCUUCCUCUCAUGUGUUAUAGGCUUAUUUUGGUUACCAUAUCUAAUCAUGUCACUGUUUAGUUUGUAGUUGUAAGUCGGAAAUUUAUU